AUUAAACGCUGGCGGCAUGCCUUACACAUGCAAGUCGAACGGCAGCACGGGGGCAACCCUGGUGGCGAGUGGCGAACGGGUGAGUAAAGCAUCGGAACGUGCCCUGGAGUGGGGGAUAACGUAGCGAAAGUUACGCUAAUACCGCAUAUUCUGUGAGCAGGAAAGCAGGGGAUCGCAAGACCUUGCGCUUUGGGAGCGGCCGAUGUCGGAUUAGCUAGUUGGUGGGGUAAAGGCCUACCAAGGCGACGAUCCGUAGCGGGUCUGAGAGGAUGAUCCGCCACACUGGGACUGAGACACGGCCCAGACUCCUACGGGAGGCAGCAGUGGGGAAUUUUGGACAAUGGGCGCAAGCCUGAUCCAGCCAUGCCGCGUGAGUGAAGAAGGCC
rnacentral:rRNA from 1 species